CGAGCGGGUCGGGCAAUCGCGGGCUAGCGCAUGUCGGCAGCAUCCUGCCCCCGCAGGAGCGUCGAAACGGCUGGCUCGAGGAAAGUCCGAGCUCCACAGAGCACGAUGCUGGGUAACGCCCAGGCGGGGUGACCCGACGGCACAGUGCAACAGAAAGCAGGUCGCCUUGUGGCGUGUUACGCCGCAGGGUAAGAGUGCAACGGUGGUGUAAGAGACCACCAGCGGGCCAGGUGACUGGUCCGGCUAGGCAAACCCCAUCGGGAGCAAGGUCAAACGGAGGGUGUCACGGCGCAAGCCGUGCCGGGGCUGCUCGUCCCGUUACCCUCGGGUAGACCGCUAGAGGCGGUAGGUAACUGCCGCCCCAGAGAGAUGAUUGCCGUCCUGAGCAGUUUCCUGCCAGGAUACAGAACUCGGCUUAUAGACCCGGUCGGGUA
rnacentral:RNase_P_RNA from 1 species